rnacentral:rRNA from 1 species
CAAUAGCGUAUAUUUAAGUUGUUGCAGUUAAAAAGCUCGUAGUCGGAUUUUGGCUGAGAACGAUCGGUCCGCCGUUAGGUGUGCACUGAUUGGUCUCAGCUUCCUGGUGAGGAGGUGUGCUUCACGGCCACUUAGUCACCGUGGUUACUUUGAAAAAAUUAGAGUGUUCAAAGCGGGCUUACGCUUGAAUAUAUUAGCAUGGAAUAACACGAUAGGACUCUGGCCUAUCUUGUUGGUCUGUAGGACCGGAGUAAUGAUUAAGAGGGACAGUCGGGGGCAUUCGUAUUUCAUUGUCAGAGGUGAAAUUCUUGGAUUUAUGAAAGACGAACUACUGCGAAAGCAUUUGCCAAGGAUGUUUUCAUUAA